CAAAACUGAGAGAGACUAAGCCAUUUCUUUUCAUCUCAAGACACAACCGAGAGAGAGGAAAAUAUUUCUGGUUCUUCCUUGUUCCAGUUUCCAACCGAGAGAGAGAGUGGGGGAGAGAGUUAGACAUUUGCUAGCUUUAUUUCUCCAGCUAGCAACCUCAAAAUCGUGAGCCAAAGUGAGUGAGAGGGAGAGAAAUCCUGGUGGUAUGCUUCACCUAAUGGCCUCAAUCGAAUGAGAGUGAAGUAGCUAGAAGAAAGAGUGAGAGUUGGCGCAAUUUUGAGGAACCGAAGCUCAACUUGGAGCCGCCUGCACUCGCUGAAUUCUAGAGGAAAGGAGUUCUUGUCCUUAGUUUAGCUACCGAGAGACAUUAGGAUGAAAAGGAGAGAAAGACCAAAAGAAAGAAACAACAACAACUACUAGGAACUCAUUUUUGGCCUCCUUCAACCGUGAGAACCAGCCACAAAGAAAGAAGGAAUGCAGUCUAUCGAGCUAAGAAUGGGAGAAAGAAACCAGAAUUUUAUUUUCCUAACUUAGAGCCAUAAGAACCAGAGGUAAACUUCUGUCUUUCUCUUCCAUUUCUUCUACGUUUAGCUAGUAGUCUUUUAGACUGAGUUGGAACCAAGUUAAGAAAACUUUAUAGAAAACAAAGGUUGUCAAAGCUGGGAAUGUUCGUUUGAACAUGAAUGUUCUUACUCUAAUGUUUAUAUGAUUGCAAGUUAGAUUUGAGUGUAAAAUAAAGAGAUUAUUAGAGAAAUUUCAUACUUUUAAACUGCUAGCUGCUGAAACUCCUUCAUCUUGGCCGAGAGAAUAAAAGAGAGUAUUCACCAACUUUUCUCUUCAAACCUCGGCUGUAAAUUCUAUAUUGUGAUUCAAAACACCUCAUAGAAUAAAAAUUAUCACCUGGAUAUUAAGUUUGAAUAAGGAAAAUAAAGAAUUUUACGGAGAAAACUUGUUUUCCAACCUACCUACUUGCUGGAAUUUUUCAACCUCAGCCGAGAGAGAUGAAAGGGAUUUUUUUUCUGAUAUUUCUCUAUAGAUUUUGGGCUGUAAACUUUCAUAUUAAGGUUGAUUACACCUUAUAAUAUCAUUAGAUGGUCAUGUAUGUGAAUUUUGGGGUGAAAAUGUGAUUUUUAUGGCUGGAUUCUUGUUUGAAAGACUGUUAGGCUAAUAAAUCAUUUACAGUUUAGUCAACGGAAUUUCUUGGCAUUUGAAUGGAUAUUUUAGUAUAAAAUUUGCUGGAAAUGCUUGAUUUGUACUUGUUGGUGUAUUAUGAGUUUGUUGGUGUUGGUGAGUGAUUGGUGGCUGGAAAUAAAAUCUAAAUAGUUAAAAUGGAAGGAAAAGUUUGCUAUACCAACUAUAGGAAUCAAAGGAGCCUUGUAACUUAUAUAAGAAGAUAUCCAUUUAUUACUUGGUUUAAUAGGUUCUAUAUAAAUUAUAUACACAUCUUAAGGUAAUAAACUAGUUAUGCAUGUGGUCUUGGUUAAUAAAAGAUGGAAUUAUGUGACAAGAAAGUACCUUAAGGUUAGCUACUUCUAAACUUACCUUGUUAAACGUUGAUGUUGAGUUUUAGUACGAUAAAUCUAACAGUAUAAAAGUAGUGAAGUGAUAUUACUGGAAUUGCUACUUAAACUUCCUUUCUUUUGGAGAUUAAAAGUCGAAGUAACAAGUGAGUGUGAGAAAAUGCACUAGUCGCCUCAUUUAAACAUAGCAAUGACUUAGAUUUCGGGUGGAAUGGUGACUUAAGGCUAGAAUACAACACGUAUGUUGAUUAUACUUUUGAACUUCACCAAAUGAGUAGUUAAAUAAUUAUGGCAAUUACAACUUGUCUCAGGAGAUAGCGGUGUGCAAGAAAGCAAUUCCGAGAUCGAAGUGUAACUUUUGAUUAGGGUGAGUGUUUCCGGAUUUAUGUGUUUAACUGUUUAUGUUUACUUAAGUGAAAUUAUUUGACAAAUGUGCUUGUUAUGAAUUAUUGCUAAGUGAUUCAUUGUAAAGUGUAUCUCAAUUGUCCCUCGCCUUCUAAGUCGAGGGUGUACUUUAUCGCACUCAACUUAGUUGAGCUUGAAGGUUGAUAACUGACUAAAUGUUAUUGUAAGUGUGCAUGAAUGUAACCUGUAUGUGUGCUUUACUGCAUCGGCUGAACUGGUCCCCAAAACCUUCUGUUCAACGGACUAUUCGAACCAGCAAAGGGCUUGGUCAGAUAGGACGGAAGCUUUGGGUAACUGUUUCGGUAUACUCGAGUAUUACCCUAAAGUUAGGAGAUUAUUGAACUGAUUACUGAAUGUAGGGGUUUGUUUAUUGUUUUGGAGGACAUAAGGAGGUGAUUUGGCGGAGUGUACGAUGAUAUUGAAAUGAAUGUACAAUGACACUGAAAUGAAUGUGCAAUGAUAUUGAAAUGACACUGAAUUACUGAACGAAACUAAGUGCUACGUCUGGAACGGACGGGAGCCACCUCUAGAGUCCAUGCAUAUCAGUAUCGUAUCCUUUGAGGUGAUUGAUUACUUUUAUUAAAUUUGAUAUCCUAAAUUGUUAAGUUUGGUGAAUGUUUUAUAUGGCUAAUUGGUUGUUGUAUCCUUUUGAAAGUGACUAUACAGUGAAAUGUGCAUUACUUGCUUAAUUUUACUGGUUAAGUGUUUAUUGAAUGUUACUUGUUCGGCAAACUUCACUGAGUUUUAGCUCAACCCUUUAGUUUUAUUUUCCUUACAGGAGUUGGUGGUCAGGGAAUGAACGAAAGAUCUUAGGGAAUUAACAUGAAGACUUUUGUGAUUGUAAAUCCUUUAAUAUCAUAUUAUGGUUGAGGCUAUUAUACUUGGUAUUGUAAAA
rnacentral:lncRNA from 1 species